rnacentral:rRNA from 1 species
AACGAACGCUGGCGGCAUGCCUAACACAUGCAAGUCGAACGAUCCCUUCGGGGAUAGUGGCGCACGGGUGCGUAACGCGUGGGAACCUGCCCUUAGGUUCGGAAUAACUCAGAGAAAUUUGAGCUAAUACCGGAUAAUGUCUUCGGACCAAAGAUUUAUCGCCUUUGGAUGGGCCCGCGUUGGAUUAGCUAGUUGGUGGGGUAAAGGCCUACCAAGGCGACGAUCCAUAGCUGGUCUGAGAGGAUGAUCAGCCACACUGAGACUGAGACACGGCCCAGACUCCUACGGGAGGCAGCAGUGGGGAAUAUUGGACAAUGGGCGAAAGCCUGAUCCAGCAAUGCCGCGUGAGUGAUGAAGGCCUUAGGGUUGUAAAGCUCUUUUACCCGGGAUGAUAAUGACAGUACCGGGAGAAUAAGCCCCGGCUAACUCCGUG